rnacentral:sRNA from 1 species
GCAGUGGUAGGUAGGUUGGCAGCGGUAGGUAGGUUGGCAGCGGUAGGUAGGUUGGCAGCGAUAGAUUAGCAGUGAUAGAUAGAUUAGCAGCAAUAGAUUAGCAGCGAUAGAUUAGCAGCAAUAGAUUAGCAGCGAUAGAUUAGCAGUGAUAGAUUAGCAGUGGUAGGUAGGUUGGCAGCGGUAGGUAGAUUGGCAGUGGUAGAUAGGUUGGCAGCGGUAGGUAGGUUGGCAGCGAUAGAUUAGCAGUGAUAGAUAGAUUAGCAGCAAUAGAUUAGCAGCGAUAGAUUAGCAGCGAUAGAUUAGCAGUGGUAGAUAGAUUGGCAGCGAUAGGUAGGUUGGCAGCGGUAGAUAGGUUGGCAGCAGCGAUAGAUUAGCAGCGAUAGA